CAAAAACCAAGCCACGAGAUGGAAGGAACUGCCUGCAGAUCUUAAAGACAGGAUUGUGUUGAGGCACAGACCUGGGUGCCCAUUUCAACUCACAAGCUGGUGGAGACUACCCUGAAACGACACCAUGUGCCCAGCAAGAUCAAGGACCUCAUCCUGAACUACUGCAGGAACCUCAGGCUCAGAGUUACUUCUGGGGACACAACAUCAGACUGGCAUCGGCUUGAAAAGCGGAUCAUAGAUGGGUGCACCAUCUCAGUUACUCUCUUGGCCCUUUCCGUGAACAUGGUGGUCAAGGCAGCUGAAGUGGAAUGUCGAGGCCCCCUGUCCAAGUCUGGCGUUCCGCACCCCCCCAUCAGAGCCUUCAUGGACGACCUUACUGUCACCACAAUAUCAGUGCCAGGUGGUAGGUGGAUCCUCCAGGGCCUGGAAAAGCUCAUCUCCUGGGCAAAGAUGAGUUUCAAACCAACCAACCUAGGGCCAUGGUGUUGAAGAAAGGGAAACUGGAGGACAGCGUUGCAAUCCCAUCAAUCACUGAGAGACCAGUCAAGAGCCUAGGCAACGUAGUCGACUGUUGCCUCAGGGAUGCAACUGCAGUCCAACCAUCAAGGAGCUUGAGACUUGGCUCACUAUGGUAGACAAGUCUGGCUUACCCGGCAGGUUCAAGGCUUGGUAUCCUACCUCGAGUCCUCUGGCCUCCUGCCUCCCAUGAGGUGACACUGUCAACAGUCGAGGCCCUGGAGAGGAAGACCAGCAGCUACCUCCCUAGAUGGCUGGGUCUGCUACGUAGCUUGAGCAGUGCGGCACUGUAAAGGAGGACCAAUAAACUCCAGCUCCCGAUCAGUAGCCUCAAUGAGGAGUCAUCCCACAACCUCGCUAUGACAAGGCCCAUGGCUGGGACAGAUGCCUUCUGGUCCUGGAGGAGGUGUGGGCAGGAGUUGAGGAAGAACCGACCAGCAGGAUGGUGGGCAUGCGGAAGCUGGGAACAUGGACUAGGUGGGAGGGUGCGCUGGAGCGGAAGAUAACCUGGUCUGACAUCUGGCAACCCCAACGAAUGAAGUUCAUUGACCAAGCUGACUUGUAUAAGUCUUGUAUAUACUUAUGAAGGGGGUGUUUUCAAGCAUGCAUACAUAACUUGCGAGCAGUUCAACCAAAGAUUCAUCAGAAUUACCCCAGGUUGGGAACCACUGCCUUAAAGUGAUAUAGUUUAAGUUCAUGACUGCAACCAGAAUAAAUGAAGGUCUCUUUAGAUCCUCAGACGGACUCAAAAUGAACAGAAUAUGAGCAAUGUUAAAUUAAUUAUCUCUGCCCUUGAACUGGUCGUAGCCUGCAGUAUUGAGGAGCUAUUCUAAGGGCAUGAAAUGUUAAAUAUGGACCAAACCCAAGAUCAGCACGAGAAAAGCAAUGUGUCUCUCAACAUCUCUGUUUCCAUGGCACCCAGCAGCUUUGAACAUUCCUUUAUCAGGAUACACUGAUAAAAGUGCCCCAGGCCUUUUCUGGACUUUAUUGAAUUACAGUGUGCAUGGAGAGUUUGUUAUGCUUGUGCAAUGGUUUCCCUUGGCUA